GACGAACGCUGGCGGCGUGCUUAACACAUGCAAGUCGAACGAUGAAGAAGAGACACGCGCACUUCGGUUCAAAUUUCACUUCGGAUUAGUGGCAGACGGGUGAGUAACGCGUGAGCAACCUACCUCUUACAAAGGGAUAGCCUCGGGAAACCGUGAUUAAUACCAUAUGACACAUUCAUAAGGCAUCUUAAGAAUGUUAAAGCUACGGCGGUAAGAGAUGGGCUCGCGUCCCAUUAGCUAGUUGGUGAGGUAACGGCCCACCAAGGCGACGAUGGGUAACCGGCCUGAGAGGGUGAACGGUCACAUUGGAACUGAGACACGGUCCAAAAUCCUACGGGAGGAAGCAGUGGGGAAUAUUGCACAAGGGAGGGAACUCUGAUGCAGCGACGCCGCGUGAGCGAUGAAGGAAUUCGUUGCGUAAAGCUCUGUUCUAUGGGAAGAAAAGGACUGUACCAUAGGAGAAAGCCCCGGCUAAAUACGUG
rnacentral:rRNA from 1 species